rnacentral:tRNA from 1 species
GCGUGAAUGGUUUAGUGGUAAAAUUCUCCGUUGCCAUUCGAGCAGCGUCGGGGAGCCCAGGGUUCGAUUCCCUGUUCACGCA